GAUGAACGCUGGCGGCGUGCCUAAUACAUGCAAGUCGAGCGAAAAGACGAGGAGCUUGCUCCUCUGACGUUAGCGGCGGACGGGUGAGUAACACGUGGAUAACCUACCUAUAAGACUGGGAUAACUUCGGGAAACCGGAGCUAAUACCGGAUAAUAUAUUGAACCGCAUGGUUCAAUAGUGAAAGACGGUUUUGCUGUCACUUAUAGAUGGAUCCGCGCCGCAUUAGCUAGUUGGUAAGGUAACGGCUUACCAAGGCAACGAUGCGUAGCCGACCUGAGAGGGUGAUCGGCCACACUGGAACUGAGACACGGUCCAGACUCCUACGGGAGGCAGCAGUAGGGAAUCUUCCGCAAAGGGCGAAAGCCUGACGGAGCAACGCCGCGUGAGUGAUGAAGGUCUUCGGAUCGUAAAGCUCUGUUAUUAGGGAAGAACAAAUGUGUAAGUAACUAUGCACGUCUUGACGGUACCUAAUCAGAAAGCCACGGCUAACUACGUG
rnacentral:rRNA from 1 species